rnacentral:rRNA from 1 species
GCGGGGAAAGAAGACCCUGUUGAGUUUGACUCUAGUCCGACUUUGUGAAAUGACUUAGAAGGUGUAGCAUAAGUGGGAGAGCAAUCGACCUUGAAAUACCACUACUUUUAACGUCAUUUUACUUAUUCCAUGAGUUGGAGUAUGGAUUCGUCCAUUCUUCUCGACCUACGUCCGUUCAUUCGGACAAUCCAGGUGGAAGACAUAGUCAGGUGGGGAGUUUGGCUGGGGAGGCACAUCUGCUAAAAGAUAACGCAGGUGUCCUAA